rnacentral:tRNA from 1 species
GGAUUUGUAGCUCAGUAGUAGAGUGCUCACAUAGUAUGUGUGAGGCCCUGGGUUCAAAGCCCAGCACCA